rnacentral:lncRNA from 1 species
AACCUGGGGAAGAAGAUGGAAUGGACUUCUCUAUGCUAACCUUCCCCAGAAUAAAGAUGGUCCCCAAUGAAUAAGCUUUGGAGCUCUCUGUACAGCACGGCGCCUGUAGUUUAACAAUCCCCUAUUGUUAAAUAUUUAUUAUUAACAACACUGUAUUCGUAAACAUUUGCUUAGAGGGUAGACCUUCUGUUAAGAGUUCUUGUCACCAAAAAUGAUCAAAUCAUCUAGAUACUCAUGUUGCAACAGAAGAAAGGGUGGGGGAAAAACUGUAAUUGCAAUGUAUACAUGUAAGGAUAACCUGACCCCCUUGCUGUACAGUGGGAAAAUAAAAAUAAACAAAUAAAUAAAUAAAUAAACAAAAGAAAUUAAAAAAAAGAGACAAAAAACAAAACAAAACAAAAAUGAUCAAAUCAUAAAGAGGGAGGGCGGAGACGUUUAGAGGUGGCGGGUAUGUUUACGGCAUAAACUGUGGGGUCAGUUUCUUGAUAGCAAGUCUUCACCAAACUCGGUGAGUUGUAUACAUUAAAUAUGUGUCAUUUGUUUGAAUGUCACUCAUGCCUCGACGGAGUGGUUUUUAAAGAAGACAGUUUGCCGGAUCCCUCUCCACGUUCAGGCUUUUUUACAAGACAGUACUUUCUGCUACGCAGGAUCCUGAACUGAAUUCUGGCCCCCACUUUGAGCAUCUCACUGUGGAUAUAUGAGGUGUCUGGCUCGCCUCUCUUCCCAAGCAGGUGCUCGUGGCACUGACACCCUGCACACCGUUCAAGAGAGAUCCGUGACAGCUUCCAGAAGUCUUAUUUGCAGGACGGACUUCUGGGUGAGAAACGGAUUGGCCCUGCCAGCAGGGCCGGAGGUAGGAGAGGAAGUUUCACAUCUGGGAAAGCAUCCCCAGGAAACCAUCUUCAGGGGUGAAGUCGGGGAGUUGAGGACAAAGAGAGAGAAGGAAAGGGAGGUCCCUGGUUUAUCUGUGCAUCGAGGUGGACUCUUGCUCAGUCAUUCAUUCAACAAACAUAGACUGUAG